rnacentral:rRNA from 1 species
UCGGGAAUUUUGGGCAAUGGGGGAAACCCUGACCCAGCAACGCCGCGUGAAGGAUGAAGUAUUUCGGUAUGUAAACUUCGAAAGAAUAGGAAGAAUAAAUGACGGUACUAUUUAUAAGGUCCGGCUAACUACGUGCCAGCAGCCGCGGUAAUACGUAGGGACCAAGCGUUGUUCGGAUUUACUGGGCGUAAAGGGCGCGUAGGCGGCAUGACAAGUCACUUGUGAAAUCUCUGGGCUUAACCCAGAACGGCCAAGUGAUACUGUCGCGCUAGAGUGCAGAAGGGGCAAUCGGAAUUCUUGGUGUAGCGGUGAAAUGCGUAGAUAUCAAGAGGAACACCUGAGGUGAAGACGGGUUGCUGGGCUGACACUGGCGCUGAGGCGCGAAAGCCAGGGGAGCAAACGGGAUUAGAUACCCAAGUAGUCCCUGAGCGGGCUGGCAAGGCGCAU